rnacentral:rRNA from 1 species
GACGAACGCUGGCGGCGUGCUUAACACAUGCAAGUCGAACGGAAAGGCCCUGCUUUUGUGGGGUGCUCGAGUGGCGAACGGGUGAGUAACACGUGAGUAACCUGCCCUUGACUUUGGGAUAACUUCAGGAAACUGGGGCUAAUACCGGAUAGGAGCUCCUGCUGCAUGGUGGGGGUUGGAAAGUUUCGGCGGUUGGGGAUGGACUCGCGGCUUAUCAGCUUGUUGGUGGGGUAGUGGCUUACCAAGGCUUUGACGGGUAGCCGGCCUGAGAGGGUGACCGGCGACAUUGGGACUGAGAGACGGCCCAGACUCCUACGGGAGGCAGUAGUGGGGAAUAUUGCACAAUGGGCGGAAGCCUGAUGCAGCGACGCCGCGUGCGGGAUGACGGCCUGCGGGUUGUAAACCGCUUUCGCCUGUGACGAAGCGUGAGUGACGGUAAUGGGUAAAGAAGCACCGGCUAACUACGUG